rnacentral:lncRNA from 1 species
GGAAGUUUCCAGGCUAUGGGUCAAAUUGGAGCUGCAGCUGCAGACCUACCUCACAGCCACAGGAAAUUUGGAUCUGAGUGAGCCACACCUGCAACCUACACUGCAGCUUGCAGCAACACUGGAUCCUUAACCCACUGAGCAAGGCCAGGGAUCAAUCCUGCAUCCUCAGAACACUAUGUCAGGUUCUUAACCCACUGAGCCACUGAACCACAACAGGAACUCCUCAACUACCAUUUUCAAACACUUUUUUUUUUUGGCUAGGGGUCUAAUCGGAGCUGUAGCUACUGGCCUAUGCCAAAGCCACAGCAAUGCUGGAUCCAAGCCAUGUCUGGGACCUACACCACAGCUCACAACAACACCAGAUCCUUAACCCACUAAGCAAGGCCAGGGAUCAAACCCAUGUCCUCAAGGAUACUAGUUGGGUUUGUUACUGCUGAGCCACAACAAGAACUCCCAACAAAAGUUAGACUUAAAUUAGGUGCUCACAUCCACUUAUGUAGUUAACAAGUACUAGAAUCAAUGCCCUACAUGAUCUGCUUUUAAUAAUCAGUCUAGUUAAUCAAGAAGUUCCCUCCACUUACUCUCUAGAGUUAAGGAGUUUUGUGUGUGUGGAAUAAUUAUAACUAAAACAGAAGUAACAAAAAUAUAUGCAUACACCUACAAAGUAUUCUAAUCAGAAUUAAUCUUCAGUCUCUAGUGUCUUAAAUCACAAAGGUUUAUCAGGAAGUUUACACUUUUUCAAAGGUUUAUCAGGAAGUUUUUCACUUUUUGUUGUUGUUGUCUUUUUGCCUUUUCUAGGGCCACUCCCGCGGCACAUGGAGGUUCCCAGGCUAGGGGUCUAAUUGGAGCUAUAGCCACCAGCCUACACCAGAGCCACAGCAACACGGGAUCCGAGCCAUGUCUGCAACCUAUACCACAGCACACAGCAGCACCGGAUCGUUAACCCACUGAGCAAGGCCAGGGAUCGAACCCAAAGCCUCAUGGUUCCUAGUCAGAUUCGUUAACCACUGCACCACGACAGGAACUCCCAUUUUUCAUUUCUUUACCAUUCCAUUACUGUAGUAAAUACUUGCACAAUAAGCCUUCAAUAAUUCAAUAGCAUAUUAGCCAUACUUUAAUAAUAAUAAUAUUCAACUAUAUCCCAAUAAAGCAGGAAAAAAACACACACAUUCACAUGUAACAUAUACAUAAUAAUAAUAAUAAUAUUACAUAAAGUCGUAUCACAUUACAUUAUUAAUGGAUAUCCAUAAUUAAGUCCCUACUACAUGCUGGGCAAACUAUUAGGUCGUUACUAUAUGAUCUCAUUUAGUCUCUGUAGUUCUGGGAGUUUGGUUUUCUUAUCUGCACUUUACAGGAGAGUAAAAUGGCUCAGAAUAAGUUGCCCAUGAGUUCACAGAUACCAAGUAAUGUGCUAGAAAGGGGUCUCUAACCCACUCAGACUACCCCAAACAUAAGAGAAUUUUGCAAAGUAGGAGUCUGCAAAAUUAACGUACAAAAUAAAUAGCCUUGCUACACAAGAAUGAAAAACCAGACAGAAAAUAUUAUGGAAGAAAGACUGUUUAGGAUAAUAAGGAUAUAAAAGAAUAAAUAAGCAAUUAAAUAAAUGAAUGAACAGAACACCAAGGAGCAACCUUAGUAGCAAAUGUCUGAAAGCUCUGAAAGGAAAAUUGCACAACACUUCUGAAAGACACAGAAGUUAUUUAACGAAUGGUGGUGGGGGGAGCAGGUUCUUGGACAAGAAGACUCAACCUCAUAAAGAUAAUAAUUGUCCCCAUGCUGAUACAUGAAUUUAUCACAAUUCUUAUAAAAGUAACAUCAGUAUUUUUUCCCCUUGAAGUAUUCUAGUUGAUUACAAAGUUAAUUUGGAAUAACAAGUAAGAAAAUUAAGAAAAACUCUGAAGGAAAAAAAAAAGAGCAAUGGUGGGGGUGAGGUGGGAGGCUAACGCUUCAGAUAUUGAAAUAUGUUUUAAAACUUCUAAAAUUAAAAUAAUGCAAUAAUGACAAAUGAAUAGACAGACUAACAUAGAAGAGAAAACCUAAAAGUAUGUAUAAUUGCAUAGGAAAUUUUACAACAGGAAACCAUGAAAAUAAUGGAAGAAUACAAAUGAACUCCUUUACAAACUUCAAGUGGGAAAAAAAUUCCUAAUUAUGCCUCAGUGACAUAAUACCCAACCAAGUCAACUAAACAAUAUUAAAGACAAAUGCCUCUCUUGGUCAAAUAAUCUUCAUUUUCAUGGAUUCUAUGAAAAGCAAAAUCCAACACACCUCUGGGAAUCACAGAACUGCAGCAUUGUUCAGCAGAACUAACUCUAACAUCUUACCUUUUCAUCACCAUUUUUAAACCCCAGCAGAAGGAUUAUAGCACUAUAACCAAAACCUAGGAUAUUUAAAUCAUAUCUAUAGAAUUAAGCUGGAAAAACUACAGCACCCCAUGCCCCAAUUAACAUCUAAGAUUUCUCCUUGCAUUUUAGUAUGCUUAUUUAUAAAAGGGAUUACAAUCCUUGAAUAUCUUAAUCUACAAUUUAUAUUAAAAAAUACUAUGUGCUACAAGCGCCUUUAAUAUUUAGGUUUAUCCUACAACUAAAAAUUAUAAUGGAAAUGUAUAGCAAAGCACUAUAAACAAUAUUUUCAAAAAAUUUGUUGUGGAGAAGGACCCCUGGUGUCCAGCUGGAUUCAAGCCAGUCUAUAGUGUAGUUGACUGCACAGAAUUUGAGUCCAUGAUGAGACAGCAUCUUUGCUUACUUUGAGAUAUUUUACUUUCCCCGUAAAAGAUGUCAAGCCCCUAAAAUUUGUAAAGAAUAUGUUUAGGAAGAAAAAUCUAUGUUGUUUUAUGUUUUCCCCAAUAAACAUUUCAGAAGCAUAAUAUAGAUUCUUUGGACACUGAACACACCAUUACUGACUGACAGGAAUGUAUCUCAGACACAAUAAUUACAGUGUCUGAUUAGCGUCUCUGGAACAUAUAGAUAACAUCUACAUUUAUAAAAAUGAGAACUAUCUCCACAAGUAGCUUCUGAAAAAAGGUUUAAAAAAAACAUAAAAAUGGUACAUUGGUAAAAAAAAAACAUGAUCACUGCCUUGCUGUAUACUAACAUUGCCUUGCAAAUGAAAACCUGCACUAUUCCUUAUGAUCAGGGUUUCACCCAUUUAUUUGGUUAAUCAUUCAAAUGGCUAAACAGACCUCUAAUUUGAAAAUAAAAACCAAUUGAUGCAAUCACAAACAAGUUCUAAAAUUGCGGUUUAUAAAAAUUGAAAUCUUGUUCUAAGCCAAAACACACACACAGUUACCUUUUCCUAAUCAGAGCAUUCAUUUCUCCUCAUUAUGAUCUCACAAGCACAUUAAAAUCUUAUUAACAUUAAUUACUUCUGAGCGCCUAUGCAUGAGCAGUGACAGUCGUGAGCGUGCGCGUGUCUGGAUCAUAUCUACAUUUAUAUACCUUGCUGAACUUUGCUUAUAAAACAUGUGAAAAUAUUUCUACUAACACCAAUUAGCUAAUUUCACACACACACAGAUAGUAAACUGCUGCCUCACUGCACAGCCUAUCAGAGACCAGUAAACAUAUGGACAAACGGACGGGAAAGAAAGCAGAAACACCUCCUGAAUGUGAGAACUAAAGUGCCUUAUACUUGAGUCUUAAUUCUUGAGGUGAAAACAAAUAGAGAGAGCAAAAUAACAAAAAAUUAAAAAUAAUUAAAAAUUUAAAAAUCAAGCAUUCUAUUUUCUACACGGAUGGGCUCGAUAAAAAUGAUAGAGACAAAGAAAAACUGGCGAGCAAAAAGCAGCAGACACAGGAGAGAUAGAGACAGAUAAACAAAGAGACAGAAAUGAAAGUGUCCUUUUUUCAUGUGUAUACAUGCACACACCCGCGUACAUAGACACACACGCAGUGCUUCAUAUAACCAUAUUCAUAUUAUAAUCUGAACAAAAACAAUACAAUAUUUACUUUGACUAUAAUGUAAGAAUUAUAGCACACCACAUCUCAAAAUCAAACAGGUCUAUCCUCACAAGCAAUAAAAUUCCUACUCAACCUAAGUGAUUUGUGGAUUCUUCUUAUACAAAGAUUAUAUAUAGGAGCCACUCAUCCCUUACAAUAGAAACUCUAUGUAAAUGCAGACAACUAGGCAGUUAUAGCUAUGAAACUACGUAUAAUCUUUAUCUCUUCUCUACAUACUUUCCUCUCAGAAACCAAAUAUUUUACCAUUCACACACUCACUCCAUCAAAUUAUGUUCUCCCCCCCAUCAUCUGUCCUUUAGUGGGAAUAUUUAUAAAGGAUUAAACAUUGAUCAUUACAUCCACAUUUUUUAUUUGUUUGUUUUGUCCAUGUGUUUAUCUUCUCUUUAGAGCCUGUAAUUAAAGCUAAAUCUAAAGAUAUAUGAAAUAUCAUUGUAUCUUUACCAACACAUUCUAUCCUGAGUUUUUCUGCCAUCUUUAAUUUCUUUGUUGCCAUUGACCACUAUCCCAACAUUGUAUCACUUUCCCAAAGAAAAUAUUUCAAAAUUCCUAUGGAAAACACUAUACAAUGGCCAAAAAAUUUAUGUGUAGUUCCAUAAUGACUUUUUCAGGGGAAAUAACAACCUCUUUGGAUUGUAAUACCUAUGUUUGUAGAAAAAGAUGAAAUAAUUCUCAAAUUAUGCUCAUCAAAUAAUUUUUGAACAUUUGACUAUGAAUGUAAUAUAGAAAGAAUAUGAGACAUUUGACUAUUCAAUAUGAUUAAUGCUCAAGAUGAUAUAAGCAACAAUAGCUCUUUCUAUAAUCCCAGUGUUCAACCUAUUGUCCAGCAGCUUCAUAGGCCUAUAGAAUGGGGGUCAAUUACAUACAGCAAUACAAGUGUGCACCCUACAGGUGUGCUAAGUAACAAGGGUCUAAGAGCUCUGUCUGUAGUGCAUAAUGCAUAUUGGAGAAGAAAUGGUAGAGAACA